GGCGGCGUGCCUAAUACAUGCAAGUAGAACGCUGAAGAGAAGAGCUUGCUCUUCUUGGAUGAGUUGCGAACGGGUGAGUAACGCGUAGGUAACCUGCCUGGUAGCGGGGGAUAACUAUUGGAAACGAUAGCUAAUACCGCAUAAAAUUGAUUAUUGCAUGAUAAUUAAUUGAAAGAUGCAAUUGCAUUACUACCAGAUGGACCUGCGUUGUAUUAGCUAGUUGGUGAGGUAACGGCUCACCAAGGCGACGAUACAUAGCCGACCUGAGAGGGUGAUCGGCCACACUGGGACUGAGACACGGCCCAGACUCCUACGGGAGGCAGCAGUAGGGAAUCUUCGGCAAUGGGGGGAACCCUGACCGAGCAACGCCGCGUGAGUGAAGAAGGUUUUCGGAUCGUAAAGCUCUGUUGUAAGAGAAGAACGGGUGUGAGAGUGGAAAGUUCACACUGUGACGUAUCUACCAGAAAG
rnacentral:rRNA from 1 species